AUUGAACGCUGGCGGCAUGCUUUACACAUGCAAGUCGAACGGUAACAGGCCUUCGGGUGCUGACGAGUGGCGAACGGGUGAGUAAUGCAUCGGAACGUACCCAGAGGUGGGGGAUAACGCAGCGAAAGCUGUGCUAAUACCGCAUGUGAUCUGAGGAUGAAAGCGGGGGACCGAGCAGCAAUGUUUGGCCUCGCGCCUUUGGAGCGGCCGAUGUCGGAUUAGCUAGUUGGUGGGGUAAAGGCUUACCAAGGCGACGAUCCGUAGCUGGUCUGAGAGGACGACCAGCCACACUGGGACUGAGACACGGCCCAGACUCCUACGGGAGGCAGCAGUGGGGAAUUUUGGACAAUGGGCGCAAGCCUGAUCCAGCAAUGCCGCGUUCGGGAAGAAGGCCUUCGGGUUGUAAACCGCUUUUGGCAGGAACGAAACGGUGUCCGCUAAUACCGGGCGCUAAUGACGGUACCUGCAGAAUAAGCACCGGCUAACUACGUG
rnacentral:rRNA from 1 species